GAAAAAUAUUUAAUGUUUAAGCUUAAUUAUCAAUAAUACCGAAUUUCAGAAUAUAGAUGUUAAAACUAUAACUAGCAAUUCCAAAAUGAAAUUUUAAUUUCUGAGUUUGGAGGACUAGUCCAUCUUCUUUCUACAACAAAAUGAAAAGAAAAAAAAGCAAAGAAGGAUAACAAAUGAUCCGGCACAAAGAAUGAAGUGUGCUUGCGUUUAAGGUGGGGACUGGGGAAGAGAGGGUAAAUUAGAUUGAUUGAUGCAUUUUUUCACUACCCACUCUCGAGGCAUGAAUGACAUGAAAUUGAGAAGACCACUAUUCAUGAUUGCCUUCAAUUCUUCUGCAACAAAAAACUAACUUCUAACUCUGUCCGUUCUUCACUUGGCCAUCAGAAACAAGGGGCUUAAUGCACAGUCGUGGCUUUACACUGACGAGGUUUUGAUGAAGAACAGAGACAGCAGCAACUAAUGAUCCGUUGGGCACUCCCGAAAGAGGCAGCAACUCAACAAGAAUGGAAAGCUCUGGAGACUUAAGGUCAACAGAUGAAUCUGAUACAGCUUCUUUAACCGCAGAAGCCACAAUUUCAAAGCAUUUGUUUCGGUCCAACAAAGAACACUUAUUAGAAUCCUUCAUAAACUUCACUUGCAUCUCUUCAAUACCUCUUCUGUUAUAACCAACUGCAAACUUUAUAGGAUGUGAAAGUUUGUUUUGUUUGUCAUUCAUGAAUUGAAGAACAAGCUUUGAUACGACUGUUCGCAGUUCCUUCUCAUCCAAAGGACAUGUAGAUUGGAUUGGGAAAAUGCGAUGACACCAUAGAGGUGACCUUAGACUCCCAGAUUCCAGACACUGAAAAAUAUUUGAUACUAUAUCUACAGUGUCAGGAGAAUUUUCUCCUGCAAAGGUCAGGAGAAGCAAACCACUCCUUGUCAACUUGACCAGGGAAAGAACAGAACUUUUUUCUUCUAUUGCAUCCAUCUCUUUUGAAAGCCCAUCUGUGUCCUCACUAACGCUCUUGCUUUUCAUGCCUUCAGCACUUGUUCUAACUAUUUCAUCAAUCUGUGUUUUCCUUCUCUUAGUGCUUUGGCUUGCAUUGGAGCUUUCCAAACAUUCAGAGGUUGCACAGUUAUAGGACCCAAUAUACUUUUCAAGGAUGGAUAUUACUUCUUUGGUCGCACUUUUUUCCCUCUUGAUGGAGCAGGUGACAAGGAAGCCAGAGUGAGAGCGCUGAAGUAAAGCAGACGGUGCUUUGUAAUCAAAGCGAGGUAAGCUUAUGACGGCUGCGUGCUGCUCCCAUGGCUUCAUUCUUUUUGUAUCGCUCCGUUUCACUUUAAGCUCUUCUUCCUCUGUUGCUUCUUCAUUUUCAUUUUCUGAUUUCGUUUCUCUUUCCACUUUCUGGCUUACUUGUUUUUCUUCAGCCAUUUCCACGUUGAGCUCAGCUCACAGCCAGAUAGGUGUUCCAAAAC
rnacentral:misc_RNA from 1 species